rnacentral:lncRNA from 1 species
AUUUGCGUCUCUAUGGUUGUCAGAGGUGGGCGGCAUUCUCCGAGUUGCUGCUAAAGCUGGAGCGCGGACGGGUGAGUGUGAGGAAUCUGAUCGCCUGGAGGCGAGUUUAGGGGAGGGGAAGUCGGCGCAUUUUGGGGACGAGCCUUUCGUGUGGCUCUGAGAUCCGGCCACUUUUCAGGUCCGCCAGGGACUGCUGCUGUCUUGGUGAUGCUGUUGGUGAUAUGCUGAGGGGACUCUCGGUCCUCCGCUCCCUUCACCCUAUCACCCCUUAUCCCUGUCAGGGAGAACUUGUAGUGCCCGGCUUCUAGCCUCAGAGUGCAUCCUCUCCACCUGCGGCCAGGACACACUAGUUCUCCCGGAAUUCGUGGAUGUGGUCAGAAGUAGAUGGAGGAGUUUAGAGCUGUGACAGAAAGAUAGAUAAAUACAUGUAUUGGGGAUAGAGAAGAUGGGGCGGGGGGAUCAUUGGCCUUUUAGAAAAGCAAAACAAACUGCAGACUUCUCGGACUGUUCCGUUUUUUAUCCUCACCAGCAACUUCGCGUUCUCAUUCUCCCUUUCUCUGUCUGUGCCCAGUCCCAGUCGGGGCUACCCACACGAUGUUUCGAGAAUGAGCCAGGUAUUACUGAUUAUGUGGGAUGCUAGAAGAAGAGUUUAAGGCGGACUGUGUUUUAUAAUAAGUUGUCACCUUUAUAAAUCCGAGGUUUUGUCUACAGUCCCUUUCAGGUGCUUGAAGUGCAAAUAUUUGUGCAUGUAAAUAAAUAAUUAAGAUUAAAUAAUUUUCUUCCUGAGACAUUUUGGAAAGACCUAUUUUUUUCCCGCUUGUUUAUAAAUACAUGUUUUGAUCCACUUCUGGGAUGACUCCCUUAAUAAACCUCUGUUUACUUUAAAGCAGUCAGUAGGGUCAGACAGGGAGGUGAUUUAACAGCAUUAGAAAGGAGUGUGUGCUGGAGAUGAAACACAUCUGUUGGGGAGUUUAGGUUUCACUGAUUGUCAGCCUUUGAGACAUAACAAACAGUUGGCGGACUCGACCAUCCUGAAUGUUUGCCGGUGUGGACAAUGUGAUGCUUGUUUAGAAUCUUAUCCUAAAGAGUUUAGAAUGCCACUUAUCCGGGAAGAUGUUCUGGCCACCAGUUACUUUGUUUUGUUUGAAUUCUUUUUUGUUCUGUUUUUUUUUUUUGAGGUAGGUUCCCCACCCCCAUCACUAGGUUUGGCCUUAAAGUCUGAAUCUUUCUGUCUCUGCCAACUGAAUGGUGGGUGGGAUUACAGGCCUGCCCAGACCUUACAGACUUCAAUGGGUUCGGUCCCCACUUCUCAUCAAUCUUUGAUUCUGUUUUGCUUAAAGACAUCACCCUGGCUACCUACUGAUGCCAAGAAAGAGUCAUCAACACCUAAGUAUCCGCACAGGGGUCAUAACAUUCAAAAUAAUAUUAGCAGAAAGUGAAGAUUCUGGAAUGGCUGGUGUGCCUGGAGAGAAUGAUAGGAGCCAAUGAUAAAGCCAAUUCUGGUAAAAGCAAGAGCAUCACUGCCUUUAUUAUAGUUUCAUGGAGUGGUUACUGUAUUCAGUAAAUCCAUCCAUCCAUCUGUCCGUCUGUCUGUCCAUCCACCCAUCUAUUGAUACAGUGUUUCACUGUGUUGCCCAAGCUGGCCUUGAACUCCUAGGUAUAAACACCCUGCCUCAGGCUCUGUAACUUGCUUUCUUAUGCUUAGAGGAAAAAAAAACUAAUAAUACAUAAUUCCUCAUGUAAUUGAAUAUCACAUGAAAUAAUUAUAACCGUUAUAUUUAACUGAACAACUACUUUAGACCUUUGUAGUCAUUUUAAAGACUCAAGUAAUUAAUGAUGCUCUCCCCGCCAACCCCCACAGUUGGCUGAAUAUUUAAUGGCAGUCUUCUGCCUCAGGCUCCUGAGUGCUGGGAUUAUAGGCAUGUGCCACCAGGCUGGCAGUAAAGCCAUAUAUAUGUAUGUAUAUUAUAUGUAUGUAUAUACACACACACAUAUAUAUACACACAUACAUAUACACACACAUACACACAACAUAUAUACAUACAACAUAUAUAUGUAUAUAUAUGUUUACUUUUAAACUGCAAAGUUAGUUUUAGCUCUUGAACAGUUUCAACAGUAUUGAAAGCACAAGCUAAAUACUCUCCAUUUUCCCCCAAAGAGUUAUCUGGUAUACUUCCUUUUAUAUAAAAGUACUUUUUAAAAAAAAGGUUUACCACAAUAUCCCCCCAACUUCUAAUAGAAAGAGCUUCCUUUGAUGCCAAAAAAGGGAGUGGAUUCCUUUCCAGGUGCUCUGAUUUAGUGUUUCAUGAGGGGAAAAAAUGUUAAUUCUUUAAAAACACUAAAUGUUACUCUCUGGGCAUGUGUUAGACACCUGAGAAGUAUCUUGAAAUGGUUUUGUUUCUUCUUAUAAAAACAGUGUGUCCUGUUCAAAAGUGGGAACAUUACAAAACCUGUAACAUUGGGCUGAGUGUGGCGGUGCAGGUCUUUAAUCUGAGCUCUCCAGAGGCAGAGGCUGUCAGACGUCUUUUGAGUUCCACACCAUCCUGGUCCACAUAGUGAAUUUCAGGCCAUCCAGCGCUACAUAGUAACACCAUGUCUC